rnacentral:rRNA from 1 species
GACGAACGCUGGCGGCGUGCUUAACACAUGCAAGUCGAACGAUGAAGAAGAGCUUGCUCUUCGGAUUAGUGGCGAACGGGUGAGUAACACGUGACUAACCUGCCCCUUUCUCUGGGAUAACGCUCCGAAAGGAGUGCUAAUACCGGAUACUCACAUCGAGGCACAUGCCUUGAUGUGGAAAGUUUUUCGGAAAGGGAUGGAGUCGCGGCCUAUCAGCUUGUUGGUGAGGUAACGGCCCACCAAGGCGACGACGGGUAGCCGGCCUGAGGGGGGGACGGGCCACACUGGGACUGAGACAGGGCCCAGACUCCUGCGGGAGGCAGCAGUGGGGAAUAUUGCACAAUGGGCGAAAGCCUGAUGCAGCGACGCCGCGUGAGGGAUGAAGGUCUUCGGAUUGUAAACCUCUUUCAGUAGGGACGAAGCGAAAGCGACGGUACCUAAAGAAGAAGCACCGGCUAACUACGUGCCAGCAGCCGCCGUUA